rnacentral:rRNA from 1 species
AUGUGGCUCCGCGCUACUCGAGUUUAUAUCAUGGUAUCUCUUAUUGGUCCACGGACUUCGAUGACUCCCUAUUCGGAAAGGACAAAAGACGAUGUUCUUCGGUGGCUUGAAAAAAAUCGGUUGAUUUUGGGUCAUAGGAGAAACCAUACUACUAUUAAGAGGGGUUGCGUGAUCCUUCCUUCGAUAGGCUUGAGAGCUCCGCCCGCCCGCGUCCUAGCUCCGCCGGUGGCCGCUCCGGCCCCGGCGUCCACCUCCGCCUGCGCCUCCGCGCUCCGGGCGCUCGCCGCCAUGGCUUCGCCGUCCUCCCCGCCCCCCUCGAGCCCGGGUCGGACCUGCGAGGUCCGCUGGAUGGACCGCAGUCCAUCCCCUUCGCCCAGCCCUGCCCACCCCGCCUCCUCCUACGCCCUGGUGGUCUCCUCCUCGCCCGCCUCCGCCGCCCCCCGGCCCGGCCCUCGCUCCGAGAUCCACCGCGUCUCCCCGGUGGCGGAGCCAGGCCCCGGCGCGGACGAGGCCGCCUGGACCACCGUCCGCAACCGCCAGGCGCGUCGCGAGGAGCGCCAGUCGCCGCCCCGCCCCAACCGUCGUCGCCGUGCGCCGGAGGCACCCUCCUGCCGGGUCGACGAGUGCCCGCGCUGCCUCGCUCGUCCGUGGCACCCCAGGUCCGAGUGUCGCCGUGACAUCUACUGCAGAAGAUGCCGUUUCUUCGGGCACAUCGCGCGGUACUGCACCGCCCCUCCUCUCCGCCGGUCCUCGGGUUCGCCGCCUCCGAAGCGAUUGCGCCCACGCUCCUCUGGCUCCUCGGACGCGAGUGUUGCCGGACCCAGCGGCCUCGCGUUUUCCAGGGCUGGAUCCACGUCCUCCGCCCCUGUGCUGCCGUCGGAGUCCUCCAGGCCCGCUUCCUCCCCACGCUCCGUGCCGGCUUCGUCUUCCCCUGCCAGCCCCAGCCAGUCUGUUGCCGUCUCCCCCCUCUCCGGGCACCCCUCUCUCCGUCCGGCAGGGGCUGUGUGCUACCUGUCGUGGUCUGCGGAGAUGGGGGACGCAGAGGAUGAGCUCCAAUCUCUCUCCCUGCUCGCCGAGCCCGCGGGCAACCAUCGCGGCGUCUCCUCCGGCGAGGUGUUCGAGGCCCUCCAGGCACGUUUUGGUCUCUCGCCUGACGAGUUCUCGGUCCACCCCCACCACCCCGACGACUUCCUCGUCCGCUUCCAGUCUCGUGACUCCCGGGCGCGCGUUUCGGCCACGAGCCUGCACACCCCGCGCUUCCGCCUCCGAUUCACCCCUUGGAGCCCCAUCGCCGGCGGCGAGCCCGUCACUGUUCGUAUGCGCGUCCUCAUUGAGAUCCGCGGGAUUCCGGAUCAUGCGUGGUGCCGCGCCUCUGCCGACUUCCUCCUGGCACCCUUCUGCCUCAUCGAGGAUCUCACCCCGGAGACUCGCUCCGGCCGUGACAUGUCCGUGUUCCGCCUUUCGGCAUGGACGACGAACCCCGACGGGAUCCCCCGCUCCUCAGAGCUCCUCCUGCCGCCACGCGAUGGCAUUGCCCUGGAUGCCGACCCGGACCGCGUCUCGCGCUUCGCGCGUCCCCUCGUCCGGUUCCCGGUGUCGAUCCACGUCUCCGAGUCCCAGGAUUAUCGCCUCCCAGCUCCUCCGCCGCGGGCGCCGCCAAGUGAUGCGGAUGACGAUGCCCCUGGUUCGCCGCCUGUCCCUGGGCCAUGGCCACGUAGGCCUCCUCGGCGUUCCCCUGGCUCCUCCCGCCGUGCCGGUCGUGGUGGCGCUGCCCGCCCCUUUGGCCGCCGGCCGCCCCCCCAUCGGGGUUGGCAAGGCGUGUUGGACCCGCACCCCGGUGCCUCUCCUCCUCCGCAUCGGAUUCCCGCCACUUUACGCCUGGCCCCCCCUCGGCCCCGGCUGGCACGCCCUCGUCACCAGCCCUGCUCGCUUUGGACCAGGCGGGUCCCAGCGUCGUCGCGGUUCAAACGGCCCCGCUGA